rnacentral:rRNA from 1 species
AGUGAACGCUGGCGGUAGGCCUAACACAUGCAAGUCGAACGGCAGCACAGAGGAGCUUGCUCCUUGGGUGGCGAGUGGCGGACGGGUGAGGAAUACAUCGGAAUCUACUCUGUCGUGGGGGAUAACGUAGGGAAACUUACGCUAAUACCGCAUACGACCUACGGGUGAAAGCAGGGGACCUUCGGGCCUUGCGCGAUUGAAUGAGCCGAUGUCGGAUUAGCUAGUUGGCGGGGUAAAGGCCCACCAAGGCGACGAUCCGUAGCUGGUCUGGGAGGAUGAUCAGCCACACUGGAAAUGAGACACGGUCCAGACUCCUACGGGAGGCAGCAGUGGGGAAUAUUGGACAAUGGGCGCAAGCCUGAUCCAGCCAUACCGCGUGGGUGAAGAAGGCCUUCGGGUUGUAAAGCCCUUUUGUUGGGAAAGAAAUCCAGCUGGUUAAUACCCGGUUGGGAUGACGGUACCCAAAGAAUAAGCACCGGCUAACUUCGUGCCAGCCGCCGCGGUAA